rnacentral:rRNA from 1 species
UACGGAGGGUGCAAGCGUUGUCCGGAAUCACUGGGCGUAAAGGGCGCGUAGGCGGCUCAUGAAGGCUGUGGUGAAAGUCCGGGGCUCAACCUCGGAUCGGCCGUGGCGACUCGUGGGCUGGAGCACUGUAGAGGCGGGCGGAAUUCCGGGUGUAGCGGUGGAAUGCGUAGAGAUCCGGAAGAACACCAGUGGCGAAGGCGGCCCGCUGGGCAGUGGCUGACGCUGAGGCGCGACAGCGUGGGGAGCAAACAGG